AUACGUAGGGGGCGAGCGUUGUCCGGAAUGAUUGGGCGUAAAGGGCGCGUAGGCGGCCCGGUAAGUCUGGAGUGAAAGUCCUGUUUUUAAGAUGGGAAUUGCUUUGGAUACUGUCGGGCUUGAGUGCAGGAGAGGUAAGUGGAAUUCCCAGUGUAGCGGUGAAAUGCGUAGAGAUCGGGAGGAACACCAGUGGCGAAGGCGGGUAACUGGACUGCAACUGACGCUGAGGCGCGAAAGUGUGGGGAGCAAACAGGAUUAGAUACCCUGGUAGUCCACACUGUAAACGAUGAAUGCUAGGUGUAAGAGGUAUCGACCCCUUUUGUGCCGGAGUCAACACAAUAAGCAUUCCGCCUGGGGAGUACGGCCGCAAGGUUGAAACUCAAAUGAAUUGGCGGGG
rnacentral:rRNA from 1 species